UAGCUCAGCGGUAGAGUGCUUGCCUUGCAAACAUGAGGCCUUAGGUUCGAUUCCUUA
rnacentral:tRNA from 1 species